UGCUCCAUUCCAUCUGCCUCCUUUCGUUCCAAGACCUCCAUUCCAGCUGCCGCCUUUCAAUCCAAGACCUUUGCCACCUUUCAAUCCAAGACCACCAUUCCACUUGCCACCUUUCAAUCCAAGGCCACUCCCACCUUUCUUCCGUCCGCCACCCUUCUCUCCACCUCAAAAGGAUUAAAAGGAUUAAAUUUAUCAUCGAGUUCUAUGUUGGGAG
rnacentral:lncRNA from 1 species